UGAUGAAAGGACUACAUUCCCAUUGCUUUCCACUCGGUUCUUGUGAAGGAGGCAAACGGAAAGUACGUCCAGUGUUUCAAAUGGUUGCUAACAUGAUGUGUACAACUUCAGACAUUUAUGUGAGCACCCAGAAUAAAGGGAUAAAGUUGUCAACAACCUGAGGUCAUCUCGCCUAUAAAACACCGAACCACUUCCCUUCAGGUCUUUGCUCUAAGAACAUUUCUGCUCUGUGGCUGUAGGAGAGAAGUGGGAAUGAAGAAAAUGCGGCAUGGUCCUUGGCUGGACAGCUGGAUCUGGGCAUCCUGCCCAGGAUUAACGGACAGGACUGAGAUACAGAGGAGCUACUUCAAGAUGACAUGACUGGCUAGACUGAAAGUGAGAGGAGAGAUUUUUUCCCAAGAUCUGCAGACAUGUGAACCUCAAGGAUUGCAGCAUUUUCUUGAAGCAGACAUUGCUUUGGUGUACUGAAUCGAACGAAACAAGACCAAAUGAAACCAAAUAGUGCUGAGCACCAGGACCUUGCUGCUUGGUACAAGUCACUUGGCAAUUUUACAGAUAGUGAGAGUCUCAACCUUCAGCCCAUAAGGUGUCUUCUGUGAUAUGGAAUUUAUCAGCUGUCUUUCAUGGUCAUGCAGAGCUGCCACAAACACAAACCUUACGCUAAACUGAGUGAGUAAGGAGCUGCCUGCGGAGGCGGACAGAGACAGAGAAGAGGAAACACAGUUCAAGUCACUUUGUGACUUCUAGGAAACUUGAGUAUGGACCACUUCUGCCAAACCCCAUCCACCACAGCUGCUGCCACAUCUUGAUGAACCCAUGGAUGCUCCUCAGUGCCUGAGACUGGCACAUCAGCAAGAAAAGUUUUCUUCCUGGGGAGAAAUACAAGCAAGAGGAGUCAACAUGACCUAUGCAAUACUCUCCUUUCCCAGACACAUACUCAAGACAAGAGGAGUCAACCUGAGCUAUGCAAUACUCUCCUUUCCCAGACACACGCUUGAGGAUCAGAUAUCUCACAGCCCUUGACCACUCAUACUAUUACUAUUGCAACUACUUGUCUAAAACACGUCUUCACUGCCUCUGCCUCUACUUCAAUUCUUAAACCACAGAAAAAAAGUGGGACGCUGACACCACAGAAAUGGCACACUGCACUUCAGAGCCACUCCUGCAGGCUGGGGAUGAAUUCUGCCCUGAGGAUUCAUUCCCUGCAUUCCCUGCACUGUGUUAUGGCUGUGAAAACCGCCUCUUUCUCAGAGCGGUUUUUAAGCAUGAGUAUUUGCCUCAGAAAGAACACACACCGUCAAACAACCUGACUAACAAACAAGACCUCAGACUAGCAGCUCCCAAAAUCAGCACUCGAUACUCUCUGAAACUUCACUCAUUUGGAUUCGAAGCCGCCUCGGCACAGAACACUUGAGAUAGAGAAGCUGCAUGUUUGUUGCAUUUAUUUGUUUGUUUGUUUGUCUAUUUAUUUAUUUUUUCCAAUCUCACACCUGCCUGUUUUACUUGAUCUUUUGCUAUAAAAUUGUGAUGGAGAAAAAGUAAUAAAAUGCCCAUAGGACAGAAAACCCUGCCUGAAGUUCACCCAUAGCUCAGAUAGAGCUAGAAGAUGCACAAUUCAAUUCAAAGGAAUACAAAGUUUUUCUCUCUUCACCUUGCCAUUUUUCCCUUCUCUUCUGUGUAUUUCAUAUAUCCAUAUAUAUAUAUAUAAAUAAAUACACUCACACACACAGGCGUAUACGCACAUACACGCACAAACCCACCCCUCCCCUUUCCAAUCCUUCCUUUAAGGUUUAAUUUAACAAUAACAUUUGCGAUCGGGGUCCUGAGCAUCUCAAGGGCAUUGCGCUUGAAAUUGCACACACUCCGCACCAUUUAUCAUAGCCUGACAUGUGUCAUGUUCCAGACUGCAGCUCCAAGAGGUUACAGCUCACGACUGCUCCUUUGUUGAUCAGCUGCUGAGACAACUGAGGCACCUUUCUUUUUUUCUUUCUUUCCUCCUUUCUUUUUUUUUUUAUAUUAUUAAAGCUGCACCAUCCUCUUUUCAAAGGGUUCAUUCUGCCACAAUAGAAAAAGCAAAUGAAUUCUUCUCCACUCUCUGCAGUCUCCCCACCCUAUCUUCAUCAGCACUGAUUCAGAUCACAUUUACCUAGAGUUUGAUAGGAGACUGUGUGCUGGUUGAUAUUACUGCUUAAUAUUGACUGUGAGAAGGAUGAACUAUUUUCAAGGUAGUUCUCUGCUUGAGGAGAAGAACAGCGUGUGUUAACUGCUACAGAUAUUUGGAAAAGUGGUAAGGGAGUCCAAAACCGCUUUCCCGUGGCAAAAUCCAUGCUUGCCAAGCCAGUGAGCUUCUGCCUUUGCUGAACCUCAGUCCUGCAAUUUAGGGGAAAUUAAAUUUUUUUCUCCAGAGCCUGUGCUUCGUUUACUCCACCCCUUCUCCUUUGCUACCUUGGUGUCUUGCAGAGCUCUUGCUGAGUGCGGAGCACCUGAGACCUGCAUGUAUCUUUGCAGAAAUGAUGCGUACAGCAUUUCAACAAACCAGGCGGUUUAUAAAGCAUAUUGACAAGAGCCACGGAAUUGCAUUCAUAAAUCACUUGUAGACCUUACUUCUGCCAGUCUUCAUCCUGCCCAUCAACAUUUGUAUAGGGUAUGGGUACAGGUGUCAUUGCAACUUAAUAUAUGAAGGGUGCAAGGUACUGCUGAUAGAAAAAAAUGUGUUUUGUAUAUUGGUUUAAGAACAAAAGUGGACCUUGUUUUGUGUGUUUCUGCUUUCUAGAAAAUAUUAGCAUGUCAGGUGAGCUACGUAAUUUGUUUUUUAACCACAUGACUUGAAGGCAGGAAAUGCUGAGCUGAAGCUGAUUUUUUCCACUUUUGAUCCCAUUUUCAUAUUCACCCUGUCCUGGAAGACCUAGAGCAUGAAUGUUCGGGUCCUAAAGUCUGGCUGUGUUUUGGAACGAUAUUUGAUAUUCCAGAUUCCUAUUCCCCUCAGUGUUUUAAAUCAUGCAAUGCUGGUCACCACCUGUUAGCACUAAGCGCACCCUCUGCAGACGCAGUGGGAGCUGUCUUGCUUUCUCUCACUCUCUCAGCUCUUGUCGACAGAUAUUUUUGGAGGUUUCCUUGGUUUAGAGGCUCUUAAUCAGAAGUGCUAAAUGGGAAGGUUCAACUACUACCAUGUGUCACAUGCCUAUUAGAUUCACAAACGGAGGGUUUUCUUGCCAUUGGCCAGUGAGAUUUCACACUCUAUCCUUCUUUAUAUAUUUGUCGCAGCCACCCAUCUUGACUCUUUUUGCCUUCCAGUUGAGCGUGCUCCUCUUCAGCAGCCUAACCAAAAUAGUGCUUGGCUGUUUUCUCCUCCUUUCCCAAAUGGAAGAAAGUUUGGUUUCGUGGCUGUAGCUGAGUAUUCCCAUAUUCACAGCAUCCUCUCUGAGCUGCUCCUGGGCUCAACAUGAAGCCAUCACCUCUCCGCUGCCUGUGAUGCACGCCCCGCCUUAGCGUUGCUGCUUGUGUUCCUGCCCUUGACUCCAGAGUGAUCCCUGCCCUCUCCCUCUGCCAGGACUGAGGCACCUGCUCAGCUCUACAGGGAUGAUGUAGUGAGACCAGCUGGGAUGGCAUAAAACAACAGCGAGACUCGGCCAACUUUCAGUCACAUAACUCUCCCUGUCCCGGGGAAUGCCACCACCUGCACAGUCCUGCUUUCUUCCAUGCUGAAGGACUGGAGAGGUUUAGCAAAAGUAAGACAAAGCACAGAGCACAGCCAUGCAUAAAGGCAAAGAUCACCAGAAACACCGCUGCUCCAUCACUUUGCCACCCUAAGCAGCUGCCUUCCUGCUUGUGCCUGACACUGGCACUGCUCCUCUGCUCCCAAGCAGUUGGGAAACUUUAUGCUACUGGACUAUACAGUCUUGAAUGACUAUAACAGCUCCCCACAAGUUGUACUGAGACUUACUGAGGCUGUUUAAGAGGAAUGGAGAUGUUAUUUAUGGAGGGGCUGUGCCCAAGGUAUGCCUGUGCUCCACUCUCUUUUCAGGACAGUUGUUCCCAUGAAAGUUGCUAUGCUAGCUCCAGACCGCACAGGGGCCAGACUAACCCCUAGCAGUAUUAAAUGGAAGAUGAAUAAUUUUAAGGCUAUUUUGCAGGUUUGUAAGGAGGAAAUAGGGAGGCUGCACAAAGUAAAGAAAUAAGAAUGCAUGCUGUCAUCAAAACUUAAAAUAAAAAAGCCUCUCAGCUUUCUCCCUCAGACCAGAGAUAUUCUCAUCCUAACACAGUGCGGAAAUGGAGUCUCUUUGGACUGGGAGUAAAAGGGAAACACAGAUACUCUGAGUGUAAUAGAAAAGCAAUGAGGAAAGCAGGACACACAGCAAUCGGGCAAGCACUCAGUGUUUCAGCUGAGACCGGCUACUGAAUAUCUCAACCAUGAAGAGUGCUGAGAGUGGAUUCAGAAUUGGCUGAACAUCGUCGUCUCCCUGUGGAAGGAAAUAUGGCUAGAGCAACCUCUGUUUAUUGGGAUGGCAUUGGGGAAUGCUGGAAGUUAAUUUGCUCCUUGGAUACGAAGAAUAAAAGUAACCUUGAGUCUCUCUGCUAAUAAGAAAAGGAGACAACUACUAAGCCAAGCAACGUAUAAAUAAGAGGAGAACCAAUAAUGACUUAAAAAUAAGUAUUUAAAUGUAAUCAGGCAGAGCUGCCUGAGACAUCAGAGGAAAGAAUAAUGAUAUGUAUACAGUAGACACAAUGUAAAUUACAAUUUAUGACAGGAUACAGGGUGGAGCCAGCACUUGAUUAAGGGACCAUGUUACAAUUUUUUCAGCAUAUGUCCUCUGUUUUUCUUUGCCUUGGCAUAGAAGUCUGGGCACUGCUGUAAGUAAAUCAGAUCGUCAGAAAAUGCCCAUGUUGAUGAGUAUUGCAGUAUCCAAGGAAAUUAACUUGACUUGUAUUUUAGACAAUUCUGCCAUAUCCAUUCCUUGCCCAGAGCUGUCAGUUGGGAAAGUGUUGUGCCUGCUUACAGUUUUAAUCAGAGAUAAAAAUUAUCUCUAGUUCAUGAAUAUGUUUAUCACAAAGAUAUGUCAAUGGCAGAGAAUAGCUUCUCAGCACAGAGUUCGUACACUAAAACAUGACAUGUACUGAAGUGUUUUGUUCUCUACAUUAAAAUCUCAUACUCAGCUCACUGUCCAGACACAGGCAGAGCCUGGGCAAGGGGAAGCCUUCCAGAAUGAAACACAAGGCUGUUCUCCUGAUGAACUUGUAGGGCCUUAAAACUCCUUGGAUAUCUACUUGCUAUGCCCUGGCCACGUAUGAACCAUUCACCUGAUGGCCAAAGAGGAGUUCAGGAAGAAGAUUUUCACUUGAUCUGGUCACAAAGGCUGCUACGGCUCCUUCGAUCUUUCUCUGUGGCUUAAGGCAUGGUCUCACUCCUGGAUGUGUUCACAGCUGCAUGCCCUGCUGUUUUCCAGACUUGAUGCUUUCAGCAUGGCUCUUGACUAUUAACACUGGUAAGUUGAGCUCUCCAGUGGGACAGGGGAGAGGCUUGGAUGUGCUGUGUCUUGUGGGUAGCUGGGUUAUGAUAAAAGAAAACAGUCUUCAUUAAUAGGGCAAUAAUUUCUACUUAUUCUUUGCCAUGCCAGCCUGCUAACACCACAACCCUCAGAGUAUGCUAAAUUGAAGAAAGCAAUAGCAGAGCAACAACAGAACUAGGAAUGUGAAUGACACAGUAUCAAAACAGAGAGUAAAUGGCUGACAAAGGAUGUUUAUAUGUUGCACUGUGUUAUUUUUGCUGCUUUGCUUGUUUGAAUUCCCCUAGAAAACAGAGAGAGCGCACAAGCAGCUAAAUGAGGGCUCCUUGCAGGGCAAGGGCUUGCUGGAUCCCAAUGUGUGUGUGUGUAUAGUAGGGAGGAGGGAAGCUUGUCUUUGUGUUUUCCUUACUAGACAGGCACAAAAAUCCCUGUUUCUUUCCAGCAUGCCAUCUAAAUUCAAAAUUAGCAUAAGCUGAUGAUGUUAAUUGAUUUAUAUGCAUGCAGGCAGUGUUUUAUCAAAGGUAGAGGGACAUAAGGUCAUUCCCCUAAGGGCCUCCAGGGAACAAGUACCCAUCUGAGAUAAUAUUGAGAUUGGCAUAGUUGGGUAUACAACCGCUUCCAAGUAUGAAGAAAUAUAAUUCUUUGUCAUUAGCAAAAAAAUAUUUUUCCUAUUAACAUUGUAAUUUUCCUAUUAAUAAAGGCUAUCCUCAUUGAGUCCUAGAAAAGUGCCCUCCACGUCCACUAAGGGGUGGUGUGGGCUGCAGCUGGUAGGCUGGCUGUCUUCCCAGAGAAGGGAAAAGUUGUGCUGAAUUGGACAUCUGAGCAAGGCUCCAGGAAUUUUGUUCCCUUCAGGUCAAUCUACUAUAGCUGUUGUGAAAAUAUCAGAACACUUAGAAAAGGUCAGGGAUGACACUGAGACAUCAAGGACCAACAGGGAGUUCCCUACUUUCUAAGAAAAUUUCAUGGAAAUAUUUGCCCACUGUCCCCUAGAGCUGUACCAAGAGAAGAGCCAGAGGAGGGCCAUGGCUUGUGAGUGCCAAAGGAGAGAAAACAUCUCUCCCCUUGCACGGCCACCACUUCAGGAAGGGAGAGGAUGGUUUUUAAUGUAUUGUGUCCAAAGCAUCUCACUAUUACUAUCAUUUUUCACCAAUCUAUUUUUUAAAAAAAACUUCUUAUUUGCUAAGCAUGAAACUAGGUUAAUCUGAACUGACAAUUAAUUCUUCUGGGGUAAGUUUGGGGGAAACAGAAAUGAAAACCCUCUAAAGGAGCGUCUUAUUUUCAUUAGUAAACCUCCCCUGGCUGGCAAAUUGGGAAUUUUUCUCUCCUUAAUGGGAGCUGCAACAUCUGAUUUCUCUCUGACUCGGUAGGAGCUUGACGAAGCCACCUUUAAACUGAACAAUCCCGUACAUCAGAGCCCAUCCCUUUCAAUUUAAUGGCUUUACUGGUGCUAAGAGAGGAUAUUGGAAACUUAGUCUUAAAAUGACACCUUUGAGGUAAUAAGCAGCAAUGAAUGGAAGAGAGAAAGAAGCAGGAGGCUUAUAAGAUUUAAGGAGUUUCUUUUGAAAAAAGAAUCCACCCUGCUGCUGACGGCCUGAUGCUCAUGUGUGUCUCUAGAUGUGCAAAUAAAGCAGGGUGUAAAGCUGUUAGUGGUGGUUCAUGGCAACCGACUAGCUCCUGUCAAGGAAAAGCAGGUUAGGUAAACUUUUCAGGUGUUUGGAGGUGAAUCUUUUCAUUUGUGCACAACCCUCGUUUGACCCAACUAUUUCACAUCAUUACCAAUUGCUUUGUUCGUACGUAUCAAACUUCCUUCUUGUGCUUUAUUGGUUUCUGCUCUCGCUGACCUCUUCCAGCAGUUUACUUUCUAACAUCCUGAAAGCUUCAUCACGCCUGUUCAGCACACCUCUCCUAGGGCUGAGAUUAAAAGUUAAAAAAGACAAAAAGUGAACACAACAGGAGAGAAAACAGAAGAGCUUUUGGCAGCAGCCUGGUGACACUCUGGGGUAAGUGAAAUGGGAUGGGUAACCACCUGGAAUAAUGGCAGGGGAAAAAAAAAGAGAGAAGAAACUCGAACAGCAGGGCUUGAGCGAGAGGAUUAGUGGAAACAGCAAGCUGAGCAGACCUCAGGAGAGGAGAAAGGUGGAAACUCUAUCUAUCUGUCUCAGCUCUCUGUGCCAAAGAUAGAUGCUGAGACCUGUUAAAACAGAAAUGGGCUCAUUUAAAUCACAACACUGAGCCCAGACAUCUCGCAUCCAGUGACCGAUUCUCUCUUGAACUAAAAGUCUGCUCAUAUCUAAGGUGUAAAAGCAGUCGCAGGGAUAUCUGCAGUGAGAGCAGGACUAGGGGAAGAUGGGAAUCAAACAGAGGGAGAGCAGAUAGCAUCUGACCCCACCUUCAACAGCUGCAGGCCACUGCUGAAGCACAGCCAACACAGCAGCAGUAAUAUUGUCCUUGCACAGGUGCUACAGAGCUGCGUCUGCGCCCCCUCCCUGCAUACCAGGACUACGUGGAGCACAGGGAAUUUGAGAGGACAUUGGUCUGGCUGAGGCUCACUCAGGCUGAGCCUAAGGCCUUCUGUCUCUUCUAUUCUGGGAACUCACAGCAGGGUUAUGUUUAGGCUGCCUAAGCUGAGAAUUAUUGCCAUUGGUGGAUAAACAUUUUAUUCAGCAUAGGGGGAGAUUUGGGACCCUGGCUCCAUUCUAAACGGUAGUGACAGUGGAAAUAUUCAGUGCUCAUGCCAGGAAACAUCAUCUAAUUCAUUUGGUGUCAAAAAAAGAAAAAAAUGUUUUGACAAACCUAGAAAAAUUUCCUUGGAUUUUUUUUUUU